rnacentral:lncRNA from 1 species
UUUGUUAUUUUUGUAAGAAAUGUAAAAAGCUGUCGGUCCAAAACCAACACCGCAGGUUUAUCACUUUAUUUAAUUUAUUGGUUAAAUUACUGACUAUCAGUUUCUUUUAUUUUGUAAAUUGGUUACUUGUUUUGAUUGAUGUAUUUACCUGCUAUAUAUAAUUAUAUGAUGUGAUUUUAACUGUUGUUAUUUUAUGUUUUAUGCAUAAGUUUUGGCUCUUCUUGCAUUUUGAAUGUUACUGAAGUCAAUAUGUUUUAUAAGUUAAUUAUCUGAUUAUUAAGUUUUAUGUUCAUAAACUCUCUUGUGUCAAGGACAUUAAGUUAUGGUUUUCUUUGUUUUGAAGUAAGCUGUUUGCUUAUUUGAUCUCAGUUUGAGAAUUAUUUUGGUUACAAGUUUUGUUGGUCAUGUAUUAUUACCUACACUUACUUUUUUAUUAAGUAGUUGUGUUAUUUAUUGUUUACUUUUGUUUGUUUAAAUUUCUAGUAGGCACAUGAUUAUCUGUAGUAUGAAUUUAUUUUUAUGUUUUUUCUUCAUUUUAUACUGCUUUUAUAUUAAAAGCCGAUACAACUUUUUGUUGGUCAGACUUGACUUUUCACAACAAAAAAUUAUCCUGUUUACAUGUUUUAAUGUCUAAUCGUGUAAUUGUGGCUUUAUGUGUAGGAGGUUCUACUUUGUUUAUUUCUUGUGUGUUUGUUUGUAGGACCUGCUUCGGAAUUCAUGUAUUAGUUCAGUUUGUAGGCCUUUUCUUUUUCUUGUGUGGCUUUGUAUGUUGAUUUUGCUUUGUUUGUAGAGUUAUUGUGUGGCUUUGUUUAUAGGAUUCUAAUUUGGAAUUCAUGUGUAGGGUUUGGUUUAUAGGGUUCUGUUUUUGAAUUUGUGUUCCUUUUCUCGUGUAGCUUUGUUUGCAGAGUUCUUACAUGCCUUUGUUUUUACAGAUCUUCUAUAUUGUAUUUUAUCGUGUCUAUUUUGUUUGUAGGGUUCUACUAUGUUUGAUUUUGCUUUGCUUUGUUUAUAAGGUUCUAUUUUAUUUGUAGAGAGUUCUGGUGUGGCUUCGUUUGUAGGGUUCUACUUUGUUUGUAGGAUUCUGUUUUGAAAUUCAUGUCUUGGUUCUACUUUUGAAUCCUUUUCCCUUUUCUUGUGUGGCUUUAUUUGUAGGGUUGUGUUUUGUUUGUAGAGUUAUUAUGUGAGUUUUUUUAUAGGAUUUUUCUUUGGAGUUCUUGUCUCGGGUUAUGUUUGUAGGAAUCAACUUUGAUAUUCUUAUCCAUUUCAAUAUUCUUAUGUGGCUUUAUUUCUAGGGUUCUGAUUCUUUAUGUAGAGUUCUUAUUGGUUCUAUUUAGAUGGUUCACCUUUGUUUUUAGACUUCUUGUGUGGCUCUAUUUGUAGGAUUCUUGUCUUAGGUUCUCUUUGUUUCUUUGUAGGGUUAUGUUUCAAAAUUCUUCUCCAUUUUCUCUGUAGAGUUGUUCUUAUGAAUUCUUUGUAUCGGGUUCUAUUUGUGAAGCUUUGGAAUUCCUGUUAAUUUGUGUUUUCUUGUGUGAAAUUUAUAGGGUUAUUUUUUGUUUGUAGAGUACUUGUGUGGCUUUGUUUUAGGGUUCUACUUUCUUGUCUUUAAUUAUGUUUGUAGGGUUCUACUUUGGAAUUCUUAUUCAUUGCAUUUUCUUGUGUGGCUUAGCAGCUUUGUUUGUAGACUUCUUGUAUGACUUUCUUUGAUCUUUGAUUGUAGGGUUCUGCUUGUGAAUUCUUGUCUUGGGUUCUCUAUGUUGGGUUUUGCUUUAGAUUUCUUUAUCCAUUUUGUAUUUUCUUUGUAGGGUUUUUUGCUUUGUUUGUAUAAAUCUUAUGUGGCUUUGUUUCAAGAUUUCUUGUGUAACUUUGUUUGUAGAGUUCUUGUGUCUCUUUGAUUGUAAUCUUUGGAAUUCUUGGGUUAUGUUUGUAGGGUUUAUUAACAUUUAGUCUUCAACAAGGCUAUAACUUCAUGGUUGAAUUAGAUUUGAUCUAAUAACUUUAGGGUUGAAUAAUUUCUUGAAAAGUUUGGUCGUUAGGACCGAGUAACAAAUGGUGAGUCUAGAACUAAAAAAACACAUGGUUCACUAUUUAAGUAAAACCGAUAGAAAAUGAAAAAAAAAAAAAAAAAAUCUAAAAAUACUAGUUGUAUGUCCGGGUCGGAUCAUAUUAACUUGAUAGAAAAUGUAAAGAUAAAAAUAAGAAAGUGUUACUUUUGUUACUAUGCUCUUUUAAUUUCAAUCUCUCUAAUUCACAUAUGAUAAAUUUUCAUAUUUGGUCGUUAUGUCGGAUCAACAAGUAGUGAACUUCAACUAACUCUUAUAUGUUUAUGUAGAUCAUUAUCUUCUUCUACAUUCAUUUUUCAUUCAUUUAAAAAAAAAAACUUGAAUAAAGACAUUUCUAAUUCUAAUUUCUUAAACAAAUGGCAAUUAACAAAUCAACAAUUAACUAACACAAUUCUAAAACUUAGAAGUCAAUGUAAUUAAACAAGUCCAAAGAACCAAUUGCUAAAAUCAUUAGUGUGAACCGUGGAUCAAAGACUUGGAAUUUGAAAGUGAAUUUAAAUAAAGUAUUAAACAAAGACAAAAAAGAUGAAAAAUUAAUUUUUCAAAUUGUCAAAUACAUUAAGAAAAUAGCCCCUUUGAAUCAAAUAACAAAAUCGUCAACCUCGGUGAAUCCGUAAAAAAAUUCAAAUAAAAAAGAACAUUGGAAAUGUUUAAUUGAAUGUAACUAAAAAAGCUACAAAGACCUUAAACCAAAGACAAAAGUAGCACAAUUUUGAAUUGAGAAUUUUACAACUUGCUGGACUGGAGUGUAAGAUUGGUCGGUUGGUGGUGUCGUAGGAAGAAGGCGGGCAGAAGGCCGACGGGAGUCGGUUGGUUGAGGGCACUGAGAACAUUGAGGGCAAUGAUCACAUUAAUAGAGACCUUCGCAACCGUUUAAAUUUUUCAUAAUUCUUUUUUUCUUUUCUGUUUAAUUACAAAUUUUUAAUGGACAACUGUUUUUUGGCUUACAAAUUUUUGGGGAUCCAAUAAACAAUGCCACUUCCAAAACAUACUAACCUUCAUGUAUUGCUAUCCUUUUCUCUAAACAAAAUUAAUGGAAACAAAAGAAUCAAUUAACAGAAUUCUUCUGGUUUUGGUUUAGGAAACCUUCUAUAUCCAAACUUUGCAUCCACAAAACCUAAUUUUGUCGAACUCCAACCACAAUUUCUCCUUCCCUAAUCCUUUCCGCUCUCCAAAUCUCCUGCAAAAAUUUGUUUCUCUUCACACUUGCUUAUUUGUUAACACUAUUUUUUCCCUUCUUGAAACUUUUGUGGUUAGCAUUGAUUUUAUUCUAUGAUAUUAAUGUGUGCGUAAUCUUGGAUUUUGAAUAGAAUUACUCUGGUUUCAGCUAUCACACUUUGAUUUAGUGUGGAAAUCAAUCACCAAGUAUAACUGACGAUUUCAAUUUUGAAUUUGGGGUUUUAAUGUGUGCGUAAACUUAGAUUCUGAGAGAGCGUGUCAUAUUGUUGUGAUUUAGGGGGUGUUUGGCUUAACUUUUCACAGCCAAAAGUUCUUUUUGGAAAAGAAAAAAAAGCAAAAGAUGUUUGGCAAACUAGUUUUAAAAGUUACUUUUGAAGUUUUUACAUAAGAAAAGGAACUUUUUGGAAAAGUCAGGAAACUUUUUAUAACUUUUCCAAAAAUGACUUUUGGGGUUUGAAAAGCUAAGCCAAACACCCCCUUAGAAUUCAUUGCAGAAGAAGGCUUAUUAGGUAUACAUUUCUUCAUUUCCUUCUACUUGUCUUCUCUUUUUAGCAAUUAGGAUAGGAAAGGAUUGUAAAAGAAUGAUUCAAUAUUAAAAUUAAUAAAGGGUAGAUUUGAGAGAAUUUAAAAAAAAAAAAAAAAAAAAGUUUGUUGAAACGCUAGUCUAGUCUAAGUAGCUUUUUUAAAAAUCUAGCAUAAAAGUUCUAUCUUUUUGGCUUGCCAAACAUGACAGCCUAAAAAAACUUGAAAAAUAAGCUAACUGCGACAUGACAAACAUAGUCAUAGACUCGCUAUUCAUCUAUUGUUUAUGCAAAAGAUGUUAAUGUCAUUUCCAUUCUUAUCAUUGAAAAUAGACAUAGAAAGCUUGUGUAGUUGAGUCAUGUUCCUUGUAACAAGGGACAAUGUUUGGUAAUGAUAUUUGACUUGUAUACACCUUAACAGACCAUUAAGGUUUGCUCAUUUCUUCAUAUUGAUUUCUCCUUGUCGAUUAUGGAAAAUUUGCUUUUACAAGAAUGAGACAUCGUGCGAGUAAAGAAUAUGACCAUUACAAAGGGUACAUGUGUCAAAUUGUAACCACACACAUUCGACUUUCUCAACAUUUCCAACCCAAAAUCAAUGUAAGUCAACAAGACAUAUAUUAAAAGACCAAUGUAUUCUCAUUAUAUAUAAUGAGCAGAAUUAAAAAAAAUAAUAAUAAUAAAAUAAAAAAAAAAGAUUUUUCAAGUCAUUUACGUUGAACUUUUCAGUUUUCUUUUUAAUAUCAAAACAUUCCAAGUCCAUUUUCAUGUUACAUCAAGUGCUCCAGUAGUUCCAACGAGGGAGGAUUAGUUUUGUUUAUUGAAAGGAUUGUCGAAUGUAGAGUUGGCAUGUUAGCAGGUUUUGUCCCUAGACAUAUGUAGGUCGGAAAAUGUGGUCUCCCCACAAAUAAAUAAAUCCAUUGUUCUAUAAAACUGAACACUAUUCCUCUCCUCAAAUUUAAUAUAACAUGAUGACGGAUUAAUUGCUUUGAUAAAUCUAACAACAUGACGGAAUUAAUAAAAAUUAAAGGAAGAUUAUACCUGAAUGAUGCGUUGGAUUAUAUUGAUGAUGGAUUGUGUUGAAUGAUUAGAUGAUUAUAUGGAUAGUUUGGAUAGAACUCUGCUAUUCAAAAAUAGAACAACUAUUUCAACAGAGAAGACAAUUGAGAUCAACUCAAGUCUUAAACACUCAAACUUAGCUUGUUUAUUUCAUUUGGGCAAAGGCCCUAUUUAUAGGCUCAAGAGAGCCGGUUACAAUUACUGUUGCAAUCGUUUGAUUGCAAUAUGACACAUAUAUAUUUACAUUAUAGCCUCCUAGACUAUUGAGGGUUAUACACUUUAUGUUACAUCAACCUACACUUAAUAAUUAUUCUACCGACACUUAUUUAAUUACAUAACAAUCCUUCUACCGACACUUUACAUAAUGAAAAAUAUAAUAAUCCCUUUCAUGAAAGGACAGGUGUCUNAACUUCCGCGGGGACCGGGCAAUUUGUAGUUAAUAAUAGUUAGAAAUGUCAAAAAUAAAUGAAAGAUAAAUUGAAGAAGACAUUAUAGUCAUUUUACACAGUUUUGAAAAUCGGAUUAUUGAGUUCGCCUGGACUACGCUGGCUUUGGGAUGCCAGGCUUGAUGCUUCAAGAAAGUUCCAAACCAAUCUCUGGCACUUGGUAAAGAUUUGUGAUUUCCGGGUGAUGACAAGUAACUCGUGAAGGUCUAUAGUCAACUACGGCUAUUGAGCGUCGAGACCAAGAAUUUGAAGAAAGAUCUCUGCUUAGGCUUAAAAUCUCUCUACCUCUCAAAGUCACCACUCCGUCCAAGUGUGGAGGUCAGAAUCCCAUCCUAUCCACCCGGGCCGUCGUCACCACCUUCUUUUGUCCGAUCCUUCUCCUCUUGAAAGGAUGAAGCGGACACAUUUAUAAUAACAAAGAAUGAAGCAUGCAACUCAUUACUUAAUUAUAUCUAACAAUAAACAAAUCAUAUUUAUCUUAUUUGGUAGUAUUCGUCGAUCGUUCUUGUAUCUAUUUGUAUCCACA